rnacentral:lncRNA from 10 species
UUUUCAUAAAUGCUUACUUACUGGAGAAGUAGAGUAGUAUUAUCUUGAGCCAAAUAUAAACCUACGUAGGUUGUCCUAAUGAGAGGUGACACCGUGCUGGCAGCCCUCAUAGCCCUCCCUGGCUGUCGGCGCCUCCUCGGCCUUGGCGCCCACUCUGGGCGCGCUUGAGGAGCCCUUCAGCCCGCCACUGUACUGUGGGAGCCCCUUUCUGGGCUGGCCAAGGCUGGAGCCGGCUCCCUCAGCUUGCGGGGGAGGUGUGGAGGGAGAGGCGCAGGCGGGAACCGGGGCUGCGAGCGGUGCUUGCGGGCCAGCGUGAGUUCCCAGUGGGUGUGGGCUCGGUGGGCACGCACUUGGAGCAGCCGGCAGGCCCCGCCGGCCAUGGGCAGUGAGAGGCUUAGCACCUGGGCCAGCAGCUGCUGUGCUCAAUUUCUCGCAGGGCCUUAGCUGCCUUCCCACGGGGCAGCACUUGGGACCUGCAGCCCGCCAUGCCUGAGCCUCCCCUGCCCCCGUGGGCUCCUGUGUGGCCUGAGCCUCCCUGACGAGCACCGCCCCCUGCCCCACGGCGCCCAGUCCCAUCGACCACCCUAGGGCUGAGAAGUGCGGGCACAGGGCGCGGGACUGGCAGGCAGCUCCACCUGCGGCCCCAGUGCGGGAUCCACUGGGUGAAGCCAGCUGGGCUCCUGACUCUGGUGGGGGACUUGAAGAACCUUUAUGUCUAUCUAAGGGAUUGUAAAUACACCAAUCGGCACUCUGUAUCUAGCUCAAGGUUUAUAAAUGCACCAAUCAGCACCCUGUGUGUAGCUCAGGGUUUGUGAAUGCACCAAUCGACAAUCUGUAUCUAGCUAAUCUAGUGGGGAGGUGGAGAACCUUUGUGUUUAGCUCAGGGAUUGUAAAGGCACCAGUCAGCGCCCUGUCAAAAGAGACCACUCGGCUCUCUGUAAAAUGGACCAAUCAGCAGGAUUUUGAGUGGGGCCUGAUAAGAAUAAAAGCAGGCUGCCCCAGCCAGCAGUGGCAACCCAUUCAGGUCCCAUUCCACAUUGUGGAAGCUUUGUUCUUUCGCUCUUUGUGGUGAAUUUUGCUGCUGCUCACUCUUUGGGUCCACACUGCCUUUACGAGCUGUAAUACUCACCGCGACGGUCUGCAGCUUCACUCCUAAAGCCAGCGAGACCACGAACCAACCAGGAGGAACAAACAACUCCAGACACGUCGCCUUAAGAGCGGUAACACUCACCUGGAAGGUCAAGGUCUGCAGCUUCACUCCUGAAGCCAGCGAGACCACGAACCCACCAGAAGGAAGAAACUCCAAACACAUCCGAGCACCAGAAGGAACAAACUCCGGACACGCCGCCUUUAAGAACUGUGACACUCAGCGCGAGGGUCUGCGGCUUCAUUCUUGAAGUUAGUGAGACCAGGAACCCACCAAUGCUGGACACUAACAUAAACUGGAAAAAGGGUCUCUUUCACCCUGUCAUCCAGGUUGGGGUGCAACGGCUCAAUCUCAGCUAACUGCCACCUCCACCUCCUAGGUUCAAGCGAUACUCCCACCUCAGCCUACCAAGUAGCUAGGAUUAUACAGGUGCACACCACCACACCUGGCUAAUGUCUUUUGUUUGUGUAUUUUUUGUAGAGAUGGGGGUUUUGUCAUGUUGCCUAAACUCCUGGGUUCAAGCAAUCCACCGACCUCAGCCUCCCAAAGUGCUGGGAUUACAGGAGUGAGCCAUCGCACCUGGCCAAUUUUUUCCUUUUACUGUGUCUGUGGUUCCACAACUUCCUUUUUUCCUGUUCUCUAUGGACUUUCUACCUCAUUUGGACUCUGCUUAGAUUGGCCUAGUUCUCUUUAAUCAAAU